ensembl:lncRNA
UUCUUGCUGAAAUUAUUCUCAUUUCCAUGAGAUUUGUGGGUUUUCUCUACAUUAAUUUCCUGAUGUUGAAAGAGGGUUGAUGUGUCAUACUCAUUAACUUCAGAGUGAUUCUCCUUUGUGCAUUUCCUGCUGGAUUUGGAGAGCUGACUUGUCACUGGUAUCUUGCCCCUCCCUGUUCCUCAUAAUCCUGGGUACUCUCUUCUGUUUGAGUCUUCUGUGGUGGGAUGGUGGCUGCCUCACUGGAGGUGGCUACUCUGCACUCAUGACCUUCCACAGGUGGUCCCAAGGCCAAAUCUUCUGUUGCCCACAAGGGUCCUCAUUAUGACUCAAGGGUCUCCCAUCUUGGUUAUGGUUGUUGGAUGCUUCCCAGGAUGAGUAUCCUCUUGAUUAUUACCAAGAAGCAACUUCCCACGUAUGUUAAUUUCAUCAGAGUUCUUAUCUGAAACAUUUUUAUCAUGCCAGGCUUCCCUGUCCAUCACCAACUCCUGGAGCUUACUCAAACUCAUGUCCAUAGAGCCAGUGAUGCCAUCCAACCAUCUCAUGCUCUUCGUUCCCUUCUCCUCCUGCCCUCAAUCUUUCCCAGCAUCAGGGUCUUUUCCAGUGAGUCAGCUCUUUGCAUCAGGUGACCAAAGUAUUGAAGCUUCAGCCUCAGCAUCAGUCCUUCCAGUGAAUAUUCAGGACUGAUCUUUAGGAGUGACUGGUUGGAUCCCCUUGCAGUCCAAGGGGCUCUCAAGAGUAUUCUCCAACACCACAGUUCAAAAGCAUCAAUUGUUUGGCAUUCAGCUUAUUUUAUAAUCCAACUCUCCUAUCCAUAUAUGACUACUAAAAAAACCAUAGCUUUGUUGUAGUCAAUAAAGCAGAUGUUUUUCUGGAACUUGCUUGCUCUUUCGAUAAUCCAGCGAAUGUUGGCAAUUUGAUCUCUGGUUCCUCUGCCUUUUGUAAAUCCAGCUUGAACAUCUGGAAGUUCACAGUUGACAUAUUGUUGACGCCUGGCUUGGAGCAUUUUGAGCAUUACUUUGCUAGCGUGUGAGAUGAGUGCAGUUGUGCGAUCAUUUGAACAUUCUUUGGCACUGCCUUUCUUUGGGAUUGGAAUGAAAACUGACCUUUUCCAGUCCUGUGGCCACUAUUGAGCUUUCCAAAUUUGCUGGCAUACUGAGUGUAGCACUUUCACAGCAUCAUAUUUUAGGAUUUGAGAUAGCCCAAAUGGAAUUCCAUCCCCUCCACUAGCUUUUUCAUAGUGAUGCUUCCUAAGGCCCACUUUGCAUUCCAGGAUGUCUGACUCUAGGUGAAUGAUCACACCACUGUGGUUAUCUGGGUCAUGAAGAUCUUUUUUGUAUAGUUCUUCUGUAUAUUCUUGCCACCUCUUAACAUCUUCUGUUUCUUUUAGGUCCAUACCAUUUGUCUUUUAUUGUGCCCAUCUUUGCAUGAAAUGUUCCCUUGAUAUCUCUAAUUUUCUUGAAGAGACCUCUAGUCUUUUCUAUUUUUUCCUCUUAUUUCUUUGCGUUGAUCUCUGAGGAAGGCUUUCUUACCUCUCCUUGCUAUUCUUUGGAGCUCUGCAUUCAAAGAAUAGCAAGAUAUAGCAAGGGUAUGGGAGAAGGCAAUGGCACCCCACGCCAGUACUGUUGCCCGGAAAAUCCCAUGGAUGGAGGAGCCUGGUGGGCUGCAGUCCAUGGGGUCACUAAGAGUCAGACACGACUGAGUGACUUCACUUUCACUUUCCACUUUCAUGCACUGCAGAAGGAAAUGGCAGCCCACUCCAGUAUUCUUGCCUGGAGAAUCCCAUGGACGGAGAAGCCUGGUAGGCUGCAGUCCAUGGGGUCGCACAGAGUCAGACACGACUGAAGUGACUUGGCAGCAGCAAGGGCAUAUCUUUCUUUUUCUUCUUUGCCUUUUGCUUCUCUUCUUUUCUCAGCUAUUUGUAAGGCCUCCUCAGACAACCAUUUUGCCUUUUUGCAUUUCUUUUUCUUGGGGAUGGUCUUGAUCCCUGCCUCCUGUACAAUGUCACGAACCUCCAUCCAUAGUUCAUCAGGCACUCUAUCAGAUCUAAUCCCUUGAAUCUGUUUGUCACUUCCAUUGUAUAAUCAUAAGGGAUUUGAUUUAGGUCAUACCUGAAUGGUCUAGUGGUUUUCCCUACUUUCUGCAAUUUAAGUCUGAAUUUGGAAAUAAGGAGUUCAUGAUCUGAGCCACAGUCAGCUCCCAGUCUUGUUUUUGCUGACUGUAUAGAGCUUCAUCUUUGGCUGCAAAGAAUAUAAUCAGUCUGAUCUGGUGAUGUGUAGUCUUCUCUUGUGUUUUUGGAAGAGGGUGUUUGCUAUGACCAAUGCGUUCUCUUCACAAAACUCUGUUAGCCUUUGCCCUGCUUCAUUCUGUAUUCCAAAGACAAAUUUGACUGUUAUUCCAGGUAUCUCUUGACUUCCUACUUUUGCAUUCCAGUCCCCUAUAAUGAAAAGGACAUCUUUUUUGGGUGUGAGUUCUAAAAGGUCUUGUAGGUCUUCAUAGAACUGUUCAAAUUCAGCUUCUUCAGCAUUAUUGGUUGGGGCAUAGACUUGGAUUCAUGUGAUAUUGAAUGGUUUGCCUUGGAAGCGAACAGAGAUCAUUCUGUCCACCCAGCAAUGGUGGGAUGAGAUUUAGCACUUUCCUGUAGCUCAAAUGGUAAAGAAUCUGUCUGCAGUGCAGGAGAUCAGGGUUCAAUCCCUGGGUUGGGAAGAUCCUCUGGAGAAGGUUAUAGCAAUCCACUCCGGAAUUCUUGCCUGGAGAAUCUCAUGGACAGAGGAGCCUGGCAGACUAGUCAGUGGGGUUGCAAAGAGCCAGACAUGACUG